GAGAGCCCGGUGCGUGGAGACACGCACGCCGGGUUCGGCGAGCGGCACGGAGAAACGGAACGACGGCAACGUCGUCACCGCGCUCCGUGCCGACUCAAC
rnacentral:ncRNA from 2 species